UACGAAGGGGGCUAGCGUUGUUCGGAAUUACUGGGCGUAAAGGGCUCGUAGGUGGCCAACUAAGUCAGACGUGAAAUCCCCGGGCUUAACCUGGGAACUGCACUUGUGACUGCACAGCUGGAGUACGGCAGAGGGGGAUGGAAUUCCGCGUGUAGCAGUGAAAUGCGUAGAUAUGCGGAGGAACACCGAUGGCGAAGGCAGUCCCCUGGGCCUGUACUGACGCUCAUGCACGAAAGCGUGGGAGCAAACAGG
rnacentral:rRNA from 1 species